ACUGGGGACAAUUUGUGAUCCUUCAGAACAAUUCCAUGCUUUGCUUAGUAAGUUAUUGUUAGAUGCAGAAAUGAAGACACGGAUACGGCUAGAGAAUAUUGCUGUUAUUGCAGCUUUAUUUAAAAAAUGAAGUGUAAGAGAAA
rnacentral:lncRNA from 1 species